rnacentral:rRNA from 1 species
CGUGGCGAACGGGUGCGUAACACGUGGAUAACCUUCCUUCAGGUGGGGAAUAACCCAGUGAAAAUUGGGCUAAUACCGCAUAACAUUUCGGGGGCACAUGCUCCUGUUCUCAAAGCCGCAAGGCGCCGGAAGAGGGAUCCGCGGCCGAUUAGCUUGUUGGCGAGGUAACGGCUCACCAAGGCGAUGAUCGGUAGCCGGACUGAGAGGUUGGCCGGCCACACUGGAACUGAGACACGGUCCAGACUCCUACGGGAGGCAGCAGUGGGGAAUCUUGCGCAAUGGGCGAAAGCCUGACGCAGCAACGCCGCGUGGGGGAUGAAGCUUCUCGGAGUGUAAACCCCUUUCGACCCGGACGAAUGUCCGCAAGGACUUGACGGUACGGGUAUAAGAAGCCCCGGCUAACUACGUGCCAGCAGCCGCGGUAAAACGUAGGGGGCCAGCGUUGCUCGGAAUUACUGGGCGUAAAGGGUCCGUAGGCGGUGUGACAAGUCGGUAGUGAAAUCUCCGGGCUUAACUCGGAGGCUGCUGCCGAAACUGUUGUGCUCGAGUGUGAGAGAGGCGAGUGGAAUUACGGGUGUAGCGGUGAAAUGCGUAGAUAUCCGUAGGAACAUCCGAGGCGAAAGCGGCUCGCUGGAUCACAACUGACGCUGAGGGACGAAAGCUAGGGGAGCAAACAGGAUUAGAUACCCUGGUAGUCCUAGCCCUAAACCAUCAGGACUUGGGGUUUGCCCUGUACGGGGCAAGUCCCGGAGCUAACGCGUUAAGUCCUGCGCCUGGGGAGUACGGUCGCAAGGCUGAAACUCAAAGGAAUUGACGGGGGCCCGCACAAGCGGUGGAACAUGUGGUUCAAUUCGA